AGACUUUCCCUUUUCUAUCCUGUUCCAUUGAGGAGCUGAGGAGCUUCCCCUGGAGAAGGAAAACUGCAUGACCCUGAGGAGCUGGGACUAAACCAGCCCCAGCAGAAGAGCUGGGACUUGCAGGGGGUUUCUGUGUCCCACCACUGCUGCUCCUCCUUCAGGUCUUCCUCGUCCCACCAGGAGCAAGGUGCCCAUCAGCACAAUUGUGGGGAUCAAAAUCCAGCCUGGAGACUGCAAAAUGUAGGGAAGAGCAUUACAUUAGGGAAAAAAUAAAAGCCUGUCCAUAAGCAUCGGAUCAAUUGGUGCUCACAUGAAAAAGUGGAUCAAUAAUAUCAAUAGCCAUUACCAGAGGAGCAGCAUGAAUUCUGUUAUCAUAGAACUUUGGAAAAACGUUUUGUCUUUGGC